rnacentral:lncRNA from 7 species
GCUGUGCUCGCGCUGUGCUGCUGAGGAGUUGGUUUCAGAGGAGUUCCCUCAGCCGGUCAGAGAUCUCAGCAUCUGUUGCAGCCGGGAUGCAUUCCUUGAUCGUUUCUGAGUCUGCCAUUAUUUUUCUGCCUGCCCAGUGUCCCAGGGACGUGAAACGAAGCCGCUGCGCUUUGCUGCCGAGCACUGAAACUCUGCACCAACAUUCAAUUUGAUCUCUCGGAACUGACUGCAAUAAAGUGGUUUCGUCAGCACACACUUGUGAUAAAAAGGCGACACGAAGAAAGCCAGCGAGCUGAAAGGCCCUGCGUUUUCCUGGGAAGACAAUAGGAUAUCUGGCUCUUUAUUUGUUUCGUGGAUUCCUUGUGCAGCCAUUUAAAUUCAGCCGAAGGCUCCAAAUGUCUAAACUUUAUCCUGGGCAUUUUAUUUAUUUUUUUUUCAGUGCUGGAAAGGAAUAGAGUUAAGUGUCCCAAGGGGAGUUUUAUAGAAAAUGCUAUGUGCAAUGUUAAUGAGUUGGGAAGGGGUCGUAUGUUUUUUCAUAUAGAGCCUAUGCAGGAACAAAUAUGGAACCGGAGGAGAAACCAUCUGCAGGGACCCAGUGAGGUGUGCCAGCGGGUGAUCCUGGGCUGCUGUCACCCCUAAAUGAUGAACAAAAGACUUCAAUCCCAAGAGCCCCCCGUGCCCCUGCAUGGCUCUGUGCUGGGCUGGGUGAAUAGCCGGGGCUGGAAGAAAUGACAAACUUCUUGGGUGCCACAAGAGAUUGCUUCAGCGUUACUGAUCCUCACUCUGCUCGUUACUGAAAAUGCAUCCAGCAGCUAUAUGGGUCAGACUGCUAAAUUUGUAGACACGGAGUGUCAGGAAGCCUUUUUGUCAACUUCGUACCGUUUAGUAUAUUUGUCCUCAAGUUCAAAGCAAUCCUGGCCCCAGACUUGUGAUAUUUUCUGCCCUUUCCCCUUUCUGUUGACUCAGGCCUCUUCCCUUUGAGGUCAACAUCAAAAUAAAGAUGUAUGUUUCCUCAGCC